UAUCUGAAACUACCCAUCGGCUGGGUCGAUUCUACCCGGAUUUUCAUGAUAUUAGCAGUUGUCAAAAUCCGGGUAACUGAUCUCACAUGAAAAGAGUAACCUUUACCCUGAUUCUGGGUAAACGAAUCUUCGAGAAAAUUUCGAAACCCAAAUUUUCCUGUUGUAUGGUGUUGUCAAAAUCUGGGUAAUCAUUUGGGUAAAUGGGACUUGGAAAAAAUUUUCACAUUGUCCGUGCGUCUAAUCCAAAGAAACACACUCUGGAGGAACUUCUGGAAGUUUAAGAUGAAAAAACCGACUAACUAAUGGCUGACAUUCAUCGAUGAUAGCCUGGCUGCAAGUACUUUGACCCAGUAACCCGAUGCAGACGGAUCAAAUACUCGUUGCUUUCUUGGCUCUCUUGGUUUCUUCCCUUCUGCAAUAGCGGCAGAAUGCGACCCAGAUUUGACAAAAAUCCAUACGAAGAUCAAUACUUUGUACGUGAAGCAGCCACUUAAAAUCAAAAGCAUCGGAAGCAUCUUCAUCAUCCAAGAAGCCAUUUUUGCACGGAAUUUUGAUUUUAUUUUUAUGUAAAACUUGAGACAAAUAAAUGUUUUAUGUGCUUUAUCGAGGUUUUUUUUUUGACAAAACAAAAAUGUUGGGAAGGCUUCGUAGUGUCCGCUAACUCAUUUACAUAAAUAUGGGUAAAGGCUACCCUGAUGAUCACCCUGAUUAGAAACGUCAAAAUCAGGGUAACCUUUACCCAGGUUUUGCGACUAACAUCGGUUACCCAGAUUUGAGUAAAGGUACCUUUACCCACUUUAGAGUAACUGCAGUUUUGCUCGAUCUGGGUCACUUUGGCACCAAUCUGGGUAGCUGGGGGUUAGCGU